CAGUCGCCGCGGUAAUACGAAGGGGGCUAGCGUUGUUCGGAUUUACUGGGCGUAAAGGGCGCGUAGGCGGACUGAUAAGUCAGGGGUGAAAUCCCAAGGCUCAACCUUGGAACUGCCUUUGAUACUGUUUGUCUUGAGUUCGAGAGAGGUAAGUGGAACUGCGAGUGUAGAGGUGAAAUUCGUAGAUAUUCGCAAGAACACCAGUGGCGAAGGCGGCUUACUGGCUCGAAACUGACGCUGAGGCGCGAAAGUGUGGGGAGCAAACAGGAUUAGAUACCCGUGUAGUCCCUGUCUCUUAUAC
rnacentral:rRNA from 1 species